AUGAUUAGUAAGAUUCUUAAGCACUUCCGUAUUAGUGUGUCAAAUCUUCUAUACAUUUCACCUGGUCAAACUCAAGAGUUCAACAAGACUACAAUGACAAACAUGUGGCAUAAGUGGGAUAAGGAACAAAAUGCUUACUACUUCUCUAUGAAGGGGUCCCAAAGACGCAUGUAUAACUUUAAUGAUCUAAUUGAACUUGAUUUGGUACAUGUUUAA